rnacentral:rRNA from 1 species
UACGUAGGGUGCGAGCGUUGUCCGGAAUUAUUGGGCGUAAAGAGCUCGUAGGCGGUGUGUCACGUCGGCCGUGAAAACCUGCAGCUUAACUGUGGGCGUGCGGUCGAUACGGGCAUCACUGGAGUUCGGCAGGGGAGACUGGAAUUCCUGGUGUAGCGGUGAAAUGCGCAGAUAUCAGGAGGAACACCGGUGGCGAAGGCGGGUCUCUGGGCCGAAACUGACGCUGAGGAGCGAAAGCGUGGGGAGCGAACAGG